rnacentral:rRNA from 1 species
AUUGAACGCUGGCGGCAGGCCUAACACAUGCAAGUCGAACGGUAACAGGAAGAAUCUUGCUUCUUUGCUGACGAGUGGCUGACGGGUGAGUAAUGUCUGGGCAACUGCCUGCUGGAGGGCGCUCACUACUGGAAACGGUAGCUACUACCGCAUAACGUCGCAAGCUCAAAGCGGGGUCCCUUCGCGCCCCCUGCCAUCGGUUGUUCCCGCAUGGGAUUAGCUCGUAGGUGGGGUAACGGCUCACCUAGGCGACGAUCCCUAGCUGGUCUGAGUGGCUGACGAGCCACACUGGUACUGAGACACGGGGCAGACUCCGACGGCAGGCAGCUGGGGGCGAUAUUGCAGAAUGGGCGCAAGCCUGAUGGAGGCGUGCCGCGUGUAUGAAGAAGGCCUCCGGGUUGUAAACUACUCUCAGCGGGGAGGAAGGGAGGAAAGUGAAUACCGCUGCUCAUUGAAGUUGCCUGCAGAAGAAGCACCGGCUAACUCCGUG